GAUGAACGCUGGCGGCGUGCCUAAUACAUGCAAGUCGAGCGAACGGACGAGAAUCUUGCUUCUCUGAUGUUAGCGUCGGACGGGUGAGUAACACGUGGAUAACCUACCUAUAAGACUGGGAUAACUUCGGGAAACCGGAGCUAAUACCGGAUGAUAUUUUGAACCGCAUGGUUCAACAGUGAAAGACGGUCUUGCUGUCACUUAUAGAUGGAUCCGCGCUGCAUUAGCUAGUUGGUAAGGUAACGGCUUACCAAGGCAACGAUGCAUAGCCGACCUGAGAGGGUGAUCGGCCACACUGGAACUGAGACACGGUCCAGACUCAGACGGGAGGCAGCAGUAGGGAAUCUUACGAAAUGGGCGAAAGCCUGACGGAGAAACGCCGAGUGAGUGAUGAAGGUCUUCGGAUCGGAAAACUCUGUUAUUAGGGAAGAACAUAUGUGUAAGUAACUGUGCACAUCUUGACGGUACCUAAUCAGAAAGCCACGGCUAACUACGUG
rnacentral:rRNA from 1 species